rfam:Picea glauca, whole genome shotgun sequence.
ACAUGCCUAAAUAAUAACGUUAAUGCACCAGAUCCCAUUAGAACUCCGUAGUUAAUUGCACUCAUUCUAGAGUGGUACUAGGAUGGGUGAUCGCCUAAGAAAUCCUAGUGUUUUACAUGCC